rnacentral:lncRNA from 1 species
AGCGCGGGGGGGUUAGGGUCGCCCCGCCCCGCCCCCGCGGGAAGGUGGCGGCGGCCGCGCACCUGCGGCGGUGACGGACGGACGGACGGACGGACAGACGCGGGGCGGGAGCGCCGGCAGAAGCGGCCCGACGGGGCGCCCCCCUCACCUCUGCCGCGCACCGGCAAGGGGCGGACAACAGCCGCCCCGUGUGGAGAGGGGUGGCUGACAAACUUUAGGAGAGUCACCCCCGCGUGGGCGGGGGCUGCUCUGCGGUGCCCCAUGCGGUAAAGUUUUCCACGCGAGAAGGUUUCCGCAGAGCAGUGUCGGAGCCCCAGGGUGCGCCUCUUUCUCGCGUAAAGCAUCGGGCGGUGGAGCAAACCCGCGUUUGCGGACGCUGUCGCCCCACGCGGGUCACAAACUUUAGGAGGCACGGUCCCGCGGCCGCCCAGCCCGCCGCACGGCGUCCCUCGCCCCGCUCAGUGGCACCGGCUCCGCCGCGCGUCGCGGGGCUGUCAGCAGGAGCCGCGCGGGCAUUUUCCACGUGGGAGGCAGGAAAUAAACAUGAAAUCGAGCAUCAGGUUGCGGCGCGUGGAACAACCGGUGGUACUGAGACACGGGUCUUCGGUGCUGCCGGCCCCGGGCCCCUGCGCAGCACGACCCGAGUUUAGGUCAACUUAACCCUGUCCCAUCCCGCUCCCGACCGGCUCGUAGUGGGGGAAAAAAAAAAAAAAAAAAAAAAAAAAGAUUAAAGAAACCUACAAAAGUGGAUCGCGGCAGGUCUGGGCUGCUAUCCGGACCGAAACCUGUCGGGCGCGCUCUGUCCCGCCUGACCGCGGCUUUCCGCGGCUCGGGACAGGGAGCAUCCGCACCCCUGCCCCGGCUGCUGAGAUUUUCCCGGCCGCUGCCGGCGAGGACGCGAGGCUGAACGAGGGGAAACAGCCUCAGGCUUGCGGACAGCGGGGGAUACACCAGGGAGAGGGAAUAACGUCCUGCGGAGGCCCGGGCAGCAGCGGAGCGCUGCAGGGCGCUCGGCGACAGAGACACCAGGAAGGGUUAGUGCUGCAGGAGACCACAGUGUUGUCUCUGUCCACAGAUCACCAUUUUACUGUCACUUUACUGCACCUGUUUGAGGCCCCUACUUCGGAUCAACUCAUUAUCCCGAAUAAACGAUGUGUCAUUCCCAUUAUUUAUGUUUCACUGCAGCCAAAGUAUCUGGACCUCGUUUUGCAGCUUCAUAUACAGAAGAAGGAUUUUUGGACUGCAUGUCUCUCAUGGUGGUCUACUUUUUUGCCUGGUUUUGCUUUCCCUUCUUCCACAUGUCAUUUUUGAUAGAUCAGGAUUUUGCACGUUGCACAUCACCUAACCAACAGUGGUGCUUUGAUGUUUGGAUGUGGAGGCUUUGAAACUUCAGAAAUGGCUGAAUUUCUUGAAUACCUCAAUCUUUUUAAAGAUAUUAAGUAUUCUAUCUUUCACCAAAGGAGAGGGAGGCUGAAGGCACUUGAUUAGUAAUUGAAUCCAAAGUUGUUUAGCUUUAAAUUAGCAGCGGUAGCAACUAACAGCUACUUGCAUCAGAAGGUUGGGAAGUGUGAAAUAAGCUUGUGGUUUCCAUCCAGUUUCUUGUGGAAAGCACCACUACCACUUCAUACAGUAUCACUGUUUGCAUUCCCUCACACAACUUCAGCGAAAAGGCAGAUGGUCUUUUUUCUGACCCAGCUUUUGGGAAUUAGGGAGAAUUCUGCCAUCAGUUUCAGUGGCUCUGGAUCAAGCCCAAGUAGACUAGGAGAUUGACUUUCCCAAGAGCCAGAGAGAAACCUCUUGGGUCAGGGACAAAGUGUGCCACUAAACAUUGGACUGCUUCUAUCCCUAUUCUGGAUAAGAAUGUCAGUGGUUUUGAAUCUGGCUCUGGAGUUCAUUUUCAAACAUGUCAAUAGCUACUGGAAAUCCAUUUUCUAGUGGAUUACUCACAGCUAAAAAAGUUCUGUACAGCUGGAGAGCCUCACAUAGCAAAACCGUCCUUUCUCAUAGAGACAUCAUUUAAUCCCACUGACAGCAAAACCAUUACAGAAUUCCAUGGACAAAAAAACAUGAAGGUAGAACAAGAAAUGUAACCUUCUGACUUGUGAGUGGAACUAUAUCAUCUUUUAAAUGGUGUCACUUCUGAUGCUUUACUUUGAAACCAAAGGCAGCCUUUUAAUACAUUUUGCAUGAUUUUUCCCUGUGUUUUUAUGCUGAGCCAUUAGAGGAUUCUGCUGUGAUGGUCAACUCAAAUUGUUGACCUACACACUUUUUAAAGAGUACCUCAUUUCUUCUACUCAGUUUAAUCAGGAGCUUUCCUGCGCACAGAAAAGUUUUGUUACAUCUCUACAUUUUUUGCAAAAAUUAGCAUAGGUCACUACCACUGACAGUGUACAAGUUAUGCAGAAUCAUAGAAUGAUUUGGGUUGGAAGAGACCUUAAAGAUGAUUGAGUUCCAACUCUCCUGCCAUGGGCAGGGACACCUUUCACUAGACCAGGUUGCUCAGAGCCCUAUCCAGCCUUGUUUUGAACACUUCCAGGGACAGGGAGGCCACAGCUUCUCUGGGCAACCUGUUCUGGUGCCUCACCACCCUCAUAGUAAGAGUUUCUUCCUAACAUCUUAUCUAAACCUACCCUCCUUCACCUUAAGGCCAUUCCCCCUUGUCCUAUCACUACAUGUGAAAAGUCCCUCUCCAGCUCUCUUGUAGCCCCCUUUAGGUACUGGAAGGUGUGAUAAGGUCUCCCCAAAGCCUUCUCUUCUCCAGGCUGAACAGCCCCAGCUCUGCCAGCCUGUCUGCAUAGCAGAGGUGCUCCAGCCCUCUGAUCAUUGUUGUGGUCCUCCUGUGGACUCACCCCAACAGGUCCAUGUCCUUCCUGUGCUGGAGACCCCAGAGCUGGAUGCAACACUCCAGGUAAAGUGUCGUGAGAGCAGAGCAGAGAAGCAGAAUCCUCAACUUGCUGGCCACACAGAUUUUGAAGUAAAUAACUAAUAACUAAGUAUUAAUAGUAAAUAACUGAUAUGAGGCUGACAUAACUAGCAUUAUUUGAUCAACUGCAUACCAAAUUAAAAACAAAAGAGUCAGAACACUCCAGAAUAAUUGAAGUGGGUCAAUGACACCCAGAAUUGCAUAGGUGACAAGUGGGAGCAGGUUGUCUUUCAGUGAGUGACUGUGAUUUUGAACAAAUGUGUAGCAUAUGUAUAUUGCUAUUUCCUGUGGUGCAAAUGAGACUUGUAUGAUUCUGUCCAGCAACUAGGAGUGGAAUUAUCCCUAAAGGAAGCCUUGUCCCUGAAGGAAGAGCCCUGUUCCACAAUGAAUUUUACUUUCGUUGUGACAUUUUGAAGGUACUACAUUGUAAUGACACAUUGCUUCAGUAAUUUUUGUACAAUGUCUCUGUGAGCUCUCUCCAUCUGUCAUGACAGCAUUAGUCUUGGCAUCUCUGAUGAAAGAAUCAAAAUUAAAAGGGAGAACAAAAAGUCAAUUUCUAAUGGGUUCCAAAUACCCAUAUCUUACAAGCGUGAAUUAAAUAUUGCUCUCAUCUUGCAGCCUUCCAGCCACAUUACAUGGAUAAAAACCUCAAAACUAUUUAAAAUUUAAAAUCCUGUUAAAAGCUGAAAUAUAUAUGAAAUAAAAUAAUAUUCAGCUGUUUAAACUAACCUGUU